GAUGAACGCUGGCGGCGUGCCUAAUACAUGCAAGUCGAGCGAACAGACGAGGAGCUUGCUCCUCUGACGUUAGCGGCGGACGGGUGAGUAACACGUGGAUAACCUACCUAUAAGACUGGGAUAACUUCGGGAAACCGGAGCUAAUACCGGAUAAUAUAUUGAACCGCAUGGUUCAAUAGUGAAAGACGGUUUUGCUGUCACUUAUAGAUGGAUCCGCGCCGCAUUAGCUAGUUGGUAAGGUAACGGCUUACCAAGGCAACGAUGCGUAGCCGACCUGAGAGGGUGAUCGGCCACACUGGAACUGAGACACGGUCCAGACUCCUACGGGAGGCAGCAUUAGGGAAUCUUCCGCAAUGGGCGAAAGCUUGACGGAGCAACGCCGCGUGAGUGAUGAGGUCUUCGGAUCGUAAAACUCUGUUAUUAGGGAAGAACAAAUGUGUAAGUAACUAUGCACGUCUUGACGGUACCUAAUCAGAAAGCCACGGCUAACUACGUG
rnacentral:rRNA from 1 species